UGGCGGACGGGUGAGUAAUGUCUGGGAAACUGCCUGAUGGAGGGGGAUAACUACUGGAAACGGUAACUAAUACCGCAUAACGUCGCAAGACCAAAGAGGGGGACCUUCGGGCCUCUUGCCAUCGGAUGUGCCCAGAUGGGAUUAGCUAGUAGGUGGGGUAACGGCUCACCUAGGCGACGAUCCCUAGCUGGUCUGAGAGGAUGACCAGCCACACUGGAACUGAGACACGGUCCAG
rnacentral:rRNA from 1 species